rnacentral:rRNA from 1 species
CCUACGGGAGGCUGCAGUGAGGAAUAUUGGUCAAUGGGCGAGAGCCUGAACCAGCCAAGUCGCGUGAGGGAGUACUGCCCUAUGGGUUGUAAACCUCUUUUGUCGGGGAGCAAAAGCCGGACGUGUCCGCCUUUGAGGGUACCCGAAGGAAAAGCAUCGGCUAACUCCGUGCCAGCCGCCGCGGUAAUACGGGGGAUGCGAGCGUUAUUCGGAUUUAUUGGGUUUUAAGGGUGCGCAGGCGGAUUUUUAAGUCAGCGGUAAAAUUGUGGGGCUCAACCCCAUCCAGCCGUUGAAACUGGUGAUCUAGAGUGAGCGAGAGGUAUGCGGAAUGCGUGGUGUAGCGGUGAAAUGCAUAGAUAUCACGCAGAACCCCGAUUGCGAAGGCAGCAUACCGGUGCACAACUGACGCUCAGGCACGAAAGCGUGGGUAUCGAACAGGAUUAGAUACCCUAGUAGUC